UUUAAUGGCAAGACUUGCCUAACUUAAGUAACAAAUCCAAAGAAGGAUCCUAAAAGCACUUUAGGAAUAUCGAAUGGCUGAGGAAGCAAAAUGUCGACGUUAGAAUGUGGAGUCCCUGGAUUAUUCAGUUGCUCUCAGUAGCAAGACAGGUCAAGCACAGAUGAUUAUGAUUGAUAAAAUACGCAACAUACUGUGACCACAGAUGGCAUCUUAAAGUGUCUGCUGCCAAAUUUUGGCUACACACGAAAAGUGCAGUCCAUGACAGGUUAGAGAGAAGCAUUCAUCUUUGGAUCCACCAAAGUUGCCUUCCCAUGCUCUCUAGAAGAUCAAGGAGAAUGGGAUUAACAGAUAUCUUACUGCUUUCUGUGUGUCUGUUUUAAUUAUGUCCAGACAAAACGUGUUAUAUGGAGCACAUCCACUUCACAGAUGCACUUAGAUUUUUUUCUAAGUAUGUUCAAGGGAGUACAAUAAUUCUGAAACAGUUCUUCAAGACUCUCCUGCAGAAUUGCUGUGUUUCAUGUUCUUCAUCUCCAUAGCAUGGUUUGGUGACUGGAGACAUUGAUUUUGAGCUGGGCUGUUAUUCUUCUUCAACUCUCUGCUAAAUUAGCCAGGCUUGUGACAGAGAACAGCCAGGCAAAUUCUGAACAACUUACAAACUGCCCUGAAGAGAAUUUGGAAGGAUUCAAAAUGCAAGGUAAUCCCCAUAACCUAUUAUACACUUUGGCUAAUUGUUGUGCAACCUAACCUGAGGAGAAAUAAACUUUUUU